UACGAAGGGGGCUAGCGUUGCUCGGAAUUACUGGGCGUAAAGCGCACGUAGGCGGCUUUCUAGGUCGGGGGUGAAAUCCUGGAGCUCAACUCCAGAACUGCCUUCGAUACUGGAGAGCUUGAGUCCGGGAGAGGUGAGUGGAACUGCGAGUGUAGCGGUGAAAUGCGUAGAGAUUAGGAAGAACACCGGUGGCGAAGGCGGCCUGCUGGGCAGUGGCUGACGCUGAGGCGCGACAGCGUGGGGAGCAAACAGG
rnacentral:rRNA from 1 species